GGGUGCCUCAUCCAACAAGCAACGAGAGAGCCUUUUUUGUGGUUAUGCAACGACAUAGCUUGGCUAAUAAACAAGAUAGUAUAUACGGGCGAUCCGGUGAAAGGAAAAACGAAAGGCACGGAAGAAAAUGGAGAUGAUUUGAGCAUGAAUGGUUAGAUUCUGUGGCCGUGGAAGGCCAUGGAAUUGAUGGCCAGCAGACGUACCUGCAGCUGCAGCAGCAGCGUUUGGUCUUGACGGUCCAAGUCAUCCAACCGGCCGGCCAAGACGCUUAGAACCCAAUCUCCAGCGUGUGGCCUGUGGGGGAUCGGGAAGCUGAUCCACAAGCAGGGGUGUGUGUAUGCCGCCUCCUCCUCUAAGCUCCCCACCGCAGCAAUAUGCCAAUCCACGUGUAUUUAAGGCAUCUCAUAGCUCGGCCUCUAUACUUUGAGCAGCAGCAGUCAUUCAUCACUGAUCACCAGCACAGCCGCGCAUCCACCGCUGCUAGCAAGGUCGAGCAAGCAGCACAGAGAUGGCUGCUGCCUUCUCCUCCACCGUCGGUGCCCCGGCUUCUACGCCGACCAACUUCCUCGGGAAGAAGCUCAAGAAGCAGGUGACCUCGGCCGUGAACUACCAUGGCAAGAGCUCCAAGGCCAACAGGUUCACGGUCAUGGCAGCGGAAAACAUCGACGAGAAGAGGAACACCGACAAGUGGAAGGGUCUUGCGUACGAUAUCUCCGACGACCAGCAGGACAUCACCAGAGGGAAGGGCAUCGUGGACUCCCUCUUCCAGGCGCCCACUGGCGACGGCACCCACGAGGCCGUCCUCAGCUCAUACGAGUACGUCAGCCAGGGACUCAAGAAGUACGACUUCGACAACACCAUGGGAGGCUUCUACAUCGCUCCUGCUUUCAUGGACAAGCUUGUUGUCCAUCUCUCCAAGAACUUCAUGACCCUGCCCAACAUCAAGAUCCCACUCAUCUUGGGUAUCUGGGGAGGCAAGGGUCAAGGAAAAUCCUUCCAGUGUGAGCUUGUCUUCGCCAAGAUGGGCAUCAACCCAAUCAUGAUGAGUGCCGGAGAGCUGGAGAGUGGCAACGCCGGAGAGCCAGCCAAGCUCAUCAGGCAGCGGUACCGUGAGGCUGCAGACAUGAUCAAGAAGGGUAAGAUGUGCUGCCUCUUCAUCAACGAUCUUGACGCCGGUGCGGGUAGGAUGGGCGGGACCACACAGUACACCGUCAACAACCAGAUGGUGAACGCCACCCUCAUGAACAUCGCCGAUGCCCCCACCAAUGUGCAGCUCCCAGGCAUGUACAACAAGGAGGAGAACCCACGUGUGCCCAUCGUCGUCACUGGUAACGAUUUCUCGACGUUGUACGCCCCUCUGAUCCGUGAUGGUCGUAUGGAGAAGUUCUACUGGGCUCCCACCCGCGACGACCGUAUCGGUGUCUGCAAGGGUAUCUUCCAGACCGACAAUGUCAGCGACGAGUCCGUCGUCAAGAUCGUCGACACCUUCCCAGGACAAUCCAUCGACUUUUUCGGUGCUCUGCGUGCUCGGGUGUACGACGACGAGGUGCGCAAGUGGGUGACCUCUACCGGUAUCGAGAACAUUGGCAAGAAGCUGGUGAACUCGCGGGACGGACCAGUGACCUUUGAGCAGCCAAAGAUGACAGUGGAGAAGCUGCUAGAGUACGGGCACAUGCUCGUCCAGGAGCAGGACAAUGUCAAGCGUGUGCAGCUUGCUGACACCUACAUGAGCCAGGCAGCUCUGGGUGAUGCUAACCAGGAUGCGAUGAAGACUGGUACCUUCUACGGUAAAGGGGCACAGCAAGGUACUUUGCCUGUACCGGCAGGAUGCACCGACCAGACUGCCAAGAACUUCGACCCAACGGCGAGGAGUGACGACGGCAGCUGCCUUUACACCUUUUAAGCAUGCCAAUUUAAUAUCUGAUGUUUUAUCCUUUGUACCUAAGUACCGCAUCGCAUCCAAGCGAUUGCUGGGCAUGUUUUGUUAAUAUAUAAAGAUAUUGAGUAUACCUAUUUGGUAAAGACAAAUAGGACUACUUAUCAUUUGUCACUCUCAGUAUUCAUUCCUUCAGUGGAGACUGCUUCUGCUUUGUUGCAAACAGAACAAAAAAAUAUUAAUUUGAGCUUCAGCUUAUUAAUUAUUAUUGCACAAACGCAUGGAAACUAAGAGUCACUUGUGUUCAUGUGAUGCAUACAGCGUGUAAUUUUAGCGCUGCUGUUCCGGAAGGAGCACUUGUUUCACACAAUUGCUCUGGAAGGUACAUCCUUAAUAACCAGCUCGAUGAUGCUGUGGUUCCCUAAGAGCAAGAAAAAAGUAUGCCGUCAACGUUGUCCACUAUCGAUUAGUAGCGAUAGAAAUCAAUUAGAAAAAAAUGUCGCUCAUGUUAAUAUACAUACA
rnacentral:rRNA from 1 species